rnacentral:rRNA from 1 species
UACGUAGGGUCCGAGCGUUGUCCGGAAUUAUUGGGCGUAAAGAGCUUGUAGGCGGUUUGUCGCGUCUGCUGUGAAAGUCCGGGGCUCAACUCCGGAUCUGCGGUGGGUACGGGCAGACUAGAGUGAUGUAGGGGAGACUGGAAUUCCUGGUGUAGCGGUGAAAUGCGCAGAUAUCAGGAGGAACACCGAUGGCGAAGGCAGGUCUCUGGGCAUUAACUGACGCUGAGGAGCGAAAGCAUGGGGAGCGAACAGG